rnacentral:rRNA from 1 species
UACGUAGGGGGCAAGCGUUGUCCGGAAUCAUUGGGCGUAAAGCGCGUGUAGGCGGUCCGGUAAGUCAGCUGUGAAAGUCAAGGGCUCAACCCUUGAAAGCCGGUUGAUACUGUCGGGCUAGAGUCCGGAAGAGGCGAGUGGAAUUCCCGGUGUAGCGGUGAAAUGCGCAGAUAUCGGGAGGAACACCAAUGGCGAAGGCAGCUCGCUGGGACGGUACUGACGCUGAGACGCGAAAGCGUGGGGAGCAAACAGG